UGUGUGUGUGCCCACGGGUGUGCUUGUAUAUGCAGAAUAAUUUGGUUAAAAUUUUUGUAACACUGUCUGCUCUUUGUGAUGAAACCAAGUAUGUGGUAGUAUUUUUGGCGAUAAAAGUUCAUAUCAAAAACAUAGCUAUCUUGCCAAAUAAAAAAAAAAAAACCCAGCCCUUAGGAAUAAACAGAUUGCAAUCUUCAUAUCAGACUGAACUCUUAAGGUUGGACAGAUUCUUUUUUUAAAAAGAGCAUUAUACACUGUCACUAAUGGAAGCAUGGACAUCUGGCAGGUAUGUGGUGAUGCUCAGCAUUAAGCCCCCAAAGACAACGCCCUGGCAGCUCAGAAUUUAUGGGCUUUUACAAAGACAGUAACAAUAGACUGGGAGCAGCGCCACCAGGACACACAGGAAAAGGGCACAGGAGAACAAACAUACAUACAAGCCUUGGCCAAGCACACGGUUCUGUUUAAACAGCCUUUUAAAGCGCUUUGAGAAUAGGGAUGGCACUAACCUUUGAGGAAAGGAAGCAGUGUCAGAAUCCAGACCUCUGAAAGUGAGGAUGAAACCUGAAUCUGCAGGAUCAAGCAGUCAGUCCCUGUUUCUGCCCUCAGCUGCGUGCCAGCAGCCCUAGGGCGAUCGGCUGGCAGAGUCUGUCCUCUCUCAGAUCCCUGGAGCUCAUCCAUUUUAGGGUCAGGAUCUCUGGAAGUGUCCUCUCUGAAUGUUACAGAACGUGAUACCACCUGUGAAUCCUGCCAAAGGGCAUUUGAGCAGAGCUGCGGGUUAGCAAGUCAUCAUGCUCUCCCACCAUCUCUUCCUGUCCCCAGAGAGUGACAGUGGAGACCAAAAGCAGAGUCCCUGGUGGCCUUAUUCGAGGGAGUGGAACCGGGAGUGGCAACCUGCCAGAAACCUUGGUGGAAGGUACUAAGGUACCUUGGUAGCAGACGUAGGAGAUUGUUUCUCCAGAAUUGUGGGUCUGAGGUUACACAGGACUCGAGAACUCACCAGAGACAAAAAGGAUCCUAGUUGAAAUGGAAGGAGCAGCCCAGAGCUUUGGAACACACGUGCACACACACGUAUUCAUUCCAUGUAUGCGUGUGAAUGGCCGCAUGAGAAGCGCUCACAGUCACGGAACCAGCUCAUCUCACCAAACUCUCCUUGGGUUUUAUUUCUCAGAUUACAGGAGAAACAUAUGAUCAUUGUAGGAGGGAAAAAAAAUCAGAAAACACAGAAAAGUGUAAAGAAGAGAACAAUCCCGCCACUGAGAGAAACAGUUAACUUUUUGUAUCUGGGACUCCGGUCUUUUCGCUUGGCAGACUGAGAGUUCUUUAUGCUGCUUUUCCAAAUUGGGAUCCUACUCAAUGUAAUGAUGGACUGGUAACCUGUUUCAGGUUAAGGGUGUACGAUGAACGGUGUUCAGUGAUGGUCUCGUGUUCCAGGUCUGCAGGUACCCAGCCAGAUCCUGCAGCCACAAUCCGGAUAAACACAUUGGAUCAUAGCCUUGGCGCAAGAUCCUCAGGGUCUCCAAGCAAAGGUUCUAAGAAGUGUCUCCAGGGCCCUGGGGACUCAGGGAAGGCCCUGCUUCCCCCUAUGUCCCAGAAACCCUUAAAGCCUCCAGAUACUGCAAGUUGUUGUGUGCAACCAAAGCCAGUUUUGCCUAGUGUUGAUAAAUGGACACUUAACUAAUGGCCUUUUUAGAGCACAGGUGAAGCAACGCCUGUGCACUCAAUGUCACAAUCAUCGCAGAGAUCACUGGCGGAGGUCACAAGGUCAGACAUCGCAGAGCUUCCCAGCAUUCCUGGCCCUUCUCCCCUCCUCCCCCAUGCCCUCCUGGGCUCCAAAUUUCCCUUCUCAGAUUCAGAAAGGAAAACGACUCUUCCCCAAAGCUGUUCUUGUUGCACUUUCACUUCUCUGCUCCGAUCUAUUGACCUAAACCCUGGAGACACUGUCUUCCCCCACCUACCAGCUGCCACCCACCACCACCUUCCUCAGUCCCCGGCUUGUCUUGGACAGUCGGCUUUGUCAUGUUCACGAUCAUUUCUGAGACGUCUAAACUAAAACUAAAAAUCCCCCAACCCUUCCUCUUUCUCUAAGCCGGCAUUCCAGCCAGGCUGGGAGGGGAAAGGUCGGCGUUUAGCUGCCUCUCCCCUCUGGGACCUGAGAUUUCAUUCCUUUCCCUUCCUUUUCAGGAAUGCUGCUCCCCCAUGGCACUUGUGGCAGCAAACAGGUUUUAUCUGCUCAGUUCUCAAGUGUUUAUUUAACUUGUCUCAGCCUUCUCUCUCUACUCACUCUCUGAGACUGUUUGCAAAGUUGCGUUUGCCAUGCUUAUUCCAAUUGUUAAAGAAAAAGACACUAACUACUCUCCAUUGACUUUCCAACCCAGUGUCCUCCUGGCCACCAUGAAUGACCUCUCCUCCUCCUCUGGCUCUUAGUGACUGGGGACUGGUGACUACAUGCAACAACCACAAAAAUUCUUCUUCAAAUAUCUUAGGUGAGAAAAUUCUCAUACUUCAAGGAAAACAGGCACCUUCAAGGACACAGUUAUCUUAGCUCUUGAUUCUUUCAACAGUUAGAAUAUUUUACCAAGAUGAUCAGCUUUUCAAUAAACUUAAUACUUGCAGCUUUCAUGACGCCAUCAUCCCCGGGAGGGCAAUGAUUAAAGGUAGAUUUUACUGCU